CUAAGGUCCCCAAAUAUGGCUAAGUGGGAAACGAAGUGGGAAGGCUAAAACAGUCAGGAGGUUGGCUUAGAAGCAGCCACCCUUUAAAGAAAGCGUAAUAGCUCACUGAUCGAGUCGUCCUGCGCGAAGAUGUAACGGGGCUAAGCCAUAUACCGAAGCUGCGGAUGCGAGCUAGUCUCGCAUGGUAGGAGAGCGUUCCGUAAGCCUGCGAAGGUGCGUUGAAAAGCGUGCUGGAGGUAUCGGAAGUGCGAAUGCUGACAUGAGUAGCGAUAAAGGGGGUGAAAGGCCCCCUCGCCGUAAGCCCAAGGUUUCCUACGCAACGUUCAUCGGCGUAGGGUGAGUCGGCCCCUAAGGCGAGGCAGAAAUGCGUAGCUGAUGGGAAGCAGGUCAAUAUUCCUGCACCGUCGUUAGAUGCGAUGGGGGGACGGAUCGCGGAAGGUUGUCCGGGUGUUGGAAGUCCCGGUCGCUGCAUUGGAGAAGGCGCUUAGGCAAAUCCGGGCGCAGGAUUCAAGGGUGUGGCGCGAGCUCCUUCGGGAGCGAAGCAAUUGGAAGUGGUUCCAAGAAAAGCCUCUAAGCUUCAGUCUAACGAUGACCGUACCGCAAACCGACACAGGUGGGCGAGAUGAGUAUUCUAAGGCGCUUGAGAGAACUCGGGAGAAGGAACUCGGCAAAUUGGUACCGUAACUUCGGGAUAAGGUACGCCCUGGUAGCUUGACUGGCCUGCGCCAGAAGGGUGAAGGGGUUGCAAUAAACUGGUGGCUGCGACUGUUUAAUAAAAACACAGCACUCUGCAAACACGAAAGUGGACGUAUAGGGUGUGACGCCUGCCCGGUGCCGGAAGAUUAAAUGAUGGGGUGCAAGCUCUUGAUUGAAGUCCCGGUAAACGGCGGCCGUAACUAUAACGGUCCUAAGGUAGCGAAAUUCCUUGUCGGGUAAGUUCCGACCUGCACGAAUGGCGUAACGAUGGCCACACUGUCUCCUCCCGAGACUCAGCGAAGUUGAAGUGUUUGUGAUGAUGCAAUCUACCCGCGGCUAGACGGAAAGACCCCAUGAACCUUUACUGUAGCUUUGCAUUGGACUUUGAACCGAUCUGUGUAGGAUAGGUGGGAGGCUAUGAAACCGGAACGCUAGUUUCGGUGGAGCCGUCCUUGAAAUACCACCCUGGUUUGUUUGAGGUUCUAACCUUGGCCCGUGAUCCGGGUCGGGGACAGUGCAUGGUAGGCAGUUUGACUGGGGCGGUCUCCUCCCAAAGCGUAACGGAGGAGUACGAAGGUACGCUAGGUACGGUCGGAAAUCGUGCUGAUAGUGCAAUGGCAUAAGCGUGCUUAACUGCGAGACCGACAAGUCGAGCAGGUGCGAAAGCAGGUCAUAGUGAUCCGGUGGUUCUGUAUGGAAGGGCCAUCGCUCAACGGAUAAAAGGUACUCUGGGGAUAACAGGCUGAUACCGCCCAAGAGUUCAUAUCGACGGCGGUGUUUGGCACCUCGAUGUCGGCUCAUCUCAUCCUGGGGCUGUAGCCGGUCCCAAGGGUAUGGCUGUUCGCCAUUUAAAGAGGUACGUGAGCUGGGUUUAAAACGUCGUGAGACAGUUUGGUCCCUAUCUGCCGUGGGCGUUGGAAGUUUGAAGGGGGCUGCUCCUAGUACGAGAGGACCGGAGUGGACGAACCUCUGGUGUACCGGUUGUGACGCCAGUCGCAUCGCCGGGUAGCUAUGUUCGGAAGAGAUAACCGCUGAAAGCAUCUAAGCGGGAAACUCGCCUUAAGAUGAGACUUCCCCGGGGACUUGAUCCCCUUGAAGGGUCGUUCGAGACCAGGACGUUGAUAGGUCGGGUGUGUAAGCGCAGUAAUGCGUUCAGCUAACCGAUACUAAUUGCCCGUACGGCUUGAUCCUAUAACA
rnacentral:rRNA from 1 species